rnacentral:tRNA from 1 species
AACUUUUUAUUCUAAGAAAGAUAUUUAAUUGUGGUUUAAAAGAUUUUUAGUUA